rnacentral:rRNA from 1 species
CAGCAGCCACGGGAAUACAGAGGGUGCGAGCGUUAAUCGGAUUUACUGGGCGUAAAGCGUGCGUAGGCGGCUAAUUGAGUCGGAUGUGAAAUCCCCGAGCUUAACUUGGGAAUUGCAUUCGAUACUGGUUAGCUAGAGUGUGGGAGAGGAUGGUAGAAUUCCAGGUGUAGCGGUGAAAUGCGUAGAGAUCUGGAGGAAUACCGACGGCGAAGGCAGCCAUCUGGCCUAACACUGACGCUGAGGUACGAAAGCAUGGGGAGCAAACAGGAUUAGAUACCCGUGUAGUCCCUGUCUCUUAUAC